rnacentral:misc_RNA from 1 species
UCUCGGCUUAUCACCAGCAGUCCCCUUAGAGUGCCCAACUGAAUGAUGGCAACUAAGGGCGAGGGUUGCGCUCGUUGCGGGACUUAACCCAACAUCUCACGACACGAGCUGACGACAACCACGCACCACCUGCGCAGGACCCUUGUGGACCUCACAUCUCUGUGAGAUUUCCCUGCAUGUCAAGCCUUGGUAAGGUUCUUCGCGUUGCAUCGAAUUAAUCCGCAUGCUCCGCCGCUUGUGCGGGGCCCCGUCAAUUCCUUUGAGUUUUAGCCUUGCGGCCGUACUCCCCAGGCGGGGCACUUAAUGCGUUAGCUACGGCACGGAGUCCGUCGAUAAGACCCCACACCUAGUGCCCAACGUUUACGGCGUGGACUAC